AGCCCCGGCUGGUCCAGUUGGGGCAGGCUGCCGUGGCCGAGACUGCAGGCUCGGGGCCUCCUGCCACGGUCAGGUCCGCCUCCGAGGCUCCAGCCUGGACUUCGGGCGUGUUACUAAGCCUCUCCACCUCAGUUUCCUCUUCUGCACAGAGCUGUGGAAAGGACGCCAGGCGUUAGCAGGACAUUUUCUACAGGUGGGAGGAGUCCUUUCAUUGAUUUAGGAGAGCUUUUUGCAUAUUAGCUUGCUAUCUGUCACCUCUCUGAUGCCUCCUCCUGCCGCCAUGGCGCACAUGGCGUUAUGUUAUCCGCACUGAGAGCUUCGGGGAAGGCUCAUAUUCAGGGACAUUAGCUCCAGAAGCAGGUGCUGGUCUGAGGAUUCCAGUUUCCUGACCAAUUUCUCCUUUUUAGAAGAUGUAGUCGCUGAGUUGCCCAGGCUGGGCCUAAACUUCUGAUCUUCCUGUCUCGGCCUCCCCGAGUGCUGGGAUCACAGGAGUGCGCCGCCACGCAUGGCCCGCCAUUUUUCAGUUCAGUGGCAUCGUACAACCGUCACCAUCCCAGGACUUUCUCUUCUUCCCAAAGUGGAAAUCCAGACCCUCUAGGCAACGACUCCACUCUCCCUCCCCGGCCACGGCUGACCGCAUGCUCUUUUCUGCCACUGGGAGCUCGGGUCCUCUUGGUCCCUCGAAGACCAGAGCCCACUGUCUGUGUCCCCUCGGCCGGCACGGGAGUCCCGGGCGAUGUCUGCGGGCCCCAGGCCACGCCCCGAACCCUCUGCUGGGCGCUGGGCUGGACUGAGCUCGGGGCUGGGGGUCCCCUUGACUUUCACACUCUAGCGCCUGGCGUGGCGGAGUGAAAUGCUGUUGAGUGAACCGACCAGAGUUUGUUAUUUGAUGUGCACUUUCAUACCUGAGAGAAAACGGAAAUUAAAGCUAGAAUGCCGAGCGUA